UUGAACGCUGGCGGCAGGCCUAACACAUGCAAGUCGAACGGUAACAGAAAGAAGCUUGCUUCUUUGCUGACGAGUGGCGGACGGGUGAGUAAUGUCUGGGAAACUGCCCGAUGGAGGGGGAUAACUACUGGAAACGGUAGCUAAUACCGCAUAACGUCGCAAGACCAAAGAGGGGGACCUUCGGGCCUCUUGCCAUCGGAUGUGCCCAGAUGGGAUUAGCUAGUAGGCGGGGUAACGGCCCACCUAGGCGACGAUCUCUAGCUGGUCUGAGAGGAUGACCAGCCACACUGGAACUGAGACACGGUCCAGACUCCUACGGGAGGCAGCAGUGGGGAAUAUUGCACAAUGGGCGCAAGCCUGAUGCAGCCAUGCCGCGUGUAUGAAGAAGGCCUUCGGGUUGUAAAGUACUUUCAGCGGGGAGGAAGGGAGUAAAGUUAAUACCUUUGCUCAUUGACGUUACCCGCAGAAGAAGCACCGGCUAACUCCGUGCCAGCAGCCGCGGUAAUACGGAGGGUGCAAGCGUUAAUCGGAAUUACUGGGCGUAAAGCGCACGCAGGCGGUCUGUCAAGUCGGAUGUGAAAUCCCCGGGCUCAACCUGGGAACUGCAUUCGAAACUGGCAGGCUAGAGUCUUGUAGAGGGGGGUAGAAUUCCAGGUGUAGCGGUGAAAUGCGUAGAGAUCUGGAGGAAUACCGGUGGCGAAGGCGGCCCCCUGGACAAAGACUGACGCUCAGGUGCGAAAGUGUGGGGAGCAAACAGGAUUAGAUACCCUGGUAGUCCACGCCGUAAACGAUGUCGAUUUGGAGGUUGUGCCCUUGAGGCGUGGCUUCCGGAGCUAACGCGUUAAGUCGACCGCCUGGGGAGUACGGCCGCAAGGUUAAAACUCAAAUGAAUUGACGGGGGCCCGCACAAGCGGUGGAGCAUGUGGUUUAAUUCGAUGCAACGCGAAGAACCUUACCUGGUCUUGACAUCCACAGAACUUUCCAGAGAUGGAUUGGUGCCUUCGGGAACUGUGAGACAGGUGCUGCAUGGCUGUCGUCAGCUCGUGUUGUGAAAUGUUGGGUUAAGUCCCGCAACGAGCGCAACCCUUAUCCUUUGUUGCCAGCGGUUAGGCCGGGAACUCAAAGGAGACUGCCAGUGAUAAACUGGAGGAAGGUGGGGAUGACGUCAAGUCAUCAUGGCCCUUACGACCAGGGCUACACACGUGCUACAAUGGCGCAUACAAAGAGAAGCGACCUCGCGAGAGCAAGCGGACCUCAUAAAGUGCGUCGUAGUCCGGAUUGGAGUCUGCAACUCGACUCCAUGAAGUCGGAAUCGCUAGUAAUCGUGGAUCAGAAUGCCACGGUGAAUACGUUCCCGGGCCUUGUACACACCGCCCGUCACACCAUGGGAGUGGGUUGCAAAAGAAGUAGGUAGCUUAACCUUCGGGAGGGCGCUUACCACUUUGUGAUUCAUGACUGGGGUG
rnacentral:rRNA from 1 species